GCUGCAGUAGCUCAGUGGAUAGAGCAGCGACCUUCUAAGUCGUGGGUCGGGGGUUCAAAUCCCUCCUGCGGCG
rnacentral:tRNA from 1 species